GGGAGUUAAAAUGAGAACAAAACCCUGUGCACAUUGUUUAUCUCUCUGUUUACUUACUGUAUUUAUUUAUAGCAUACCUCCUUCGAUUUUGCACACUGUGACCAAUAGGCUUCUUUUCUGACUCCGCCCUUUGUGAGGCCCCGCCUUCCUCCACAGAAGAUCAGUCAGAUUCCUAUAGGGGGCCUCCUGUACCAACACAGACCCUCCUCCCAAAGUAGGAAAAUCACUGCCGUUACCGUGCGCUGUAUUGCAUGGAAGGAAACCAACCGCAGGGGUCGCAGUGGUCCGGAGCCCGUUCUGAUCGCCAGUCUUGGCAGGGUACACCCCAGACAGGAUUUCGGUACAUCACAGGAUCUGGACCCAGCCUGCGGAGAUGCCGUUCUCUAGGUGGGAAGGUCUGUCACCGCUUCGGGAGGAUCCGAAGAGCGCGCCAGGCCUUCUGGAGAGGCGCUCGAGGAGAGAGA